rnacentral:sRNA from 1 species
GUCAGUUGGAGGCAGGCGCUCGCUGAGGCAGAAGGAGGCGCUCGGCCCGCGGCCUGACAGGGACUUAGCCCGCAGAGAUCGACCCCGCGCGCGUGACCCCACACCCACCCACUCAUCCACCUAUCCACUCCCUGCGCCGCCUCCUCCCACCCUGAGCAGAGCCGCCGAGGAUGAUAAACACCCAGGACAGGAUUCAUUAUUCCUAAUGAGCUUGGUGGCGUAGCUUCAAUACCAUUUGAACACUAAAGCCAUUAUUAGAAGAGAAGGCCAUUACUGGUAGUAUUUUGCCUUUGAGUAACUGUCCCCAGCUCCAGUGCUGCAGGCACAUUGUUCCAGGGCCUCUGUGGUGCUCCUGAUGCCCCUCACCCACUGUCGAAGAUCCCCGGUGGGCGAGGGGGCGGCAGGGAUCCUUCUCUCUCAGCUCUGAUAUAUAAGGACGAGAAGCUCACUGUGACCCAGGACCUCCCUGUGAAUGAUGGAAAACCUCACAUCGUCCACUUCCAGUAUGAGGUCACCGAGGUGAAGGUCUCUUCUUGGGAU